UACGGAGGGAGCUAGCGUUGUUUGGAAUUACUGGGCGUAAAGCGCACGUAGGCGGCUUUGUAAGUUAGAGGUGAAAGCCCGGAGCUCAACUCCGGAACUGCCUUUAAGACUGCAUCGCUUGAAUCCAGGAGAGGUGAGUGGAAUUCCGAGUGUAGAGGUGAAAUUCGUAGAUAUUCGGAAGAACACCAGUGGCGAAGGCGGCUCACUGGACUGGUAUUGACGCUGAGGUGCGAAAGCGUGGGGAGCAAACAGG
rnacentral:rRNA from 1 species